rnacentral:rRNA from 1 species
GAUGAACGCUGGCGGCGUGCCUAAUACAUGCAAGUCGAGCGAACGGACGAGAAGCUUGCUUCUCUGAUGUUAGCGGCGGACGGGUGAGUAACACGUGGAUAACCUACCUAUAAGACUGGGAUAACUUCGGGAAACCGGAGCUAAUACCGGAUAAUAUUUUGAACCGCAUGGUUCAAAAGUGAAAGACGGUCUUGCUGUCACUUAUAGAUGGAUCCGCGCUGCAUUAGCUAGUUGGUAAGGUAACGGCUUACCAAGGCAACGAUGCAUAGCCGACCUGAGAGGGUGAUCGGCCACACUGGAACUGAGACACGGUCCAGACUCCUACGGGAGGCAGCAGUAGGGAAUCUUCCGCAAUGGGCGAAAGCCUGACGGAGCAACGCCGCGUGAGUGAUGAAGGUCUUCGGAUCGUAAAACUCUGUUAUUAGGGAAGAACAUAUGUGUAAGUAACUGUGCACAUCUUGACGGUACCUAAUCAGAAAGCCACGGCUAACUACGUGCCAGCAGCCGCGGUAAUACGUAGGUGGCAAGCGUUAUCCGGAAUUAUUGGGCGUAAAGCGCGCGUAGGCGGUUUUUUAAGUCUGAUGUGAAAGCCCACGGCUCAACCGUGGAGGGUCAUUGGAAACUGGAAAACUUGAGUGCAGAAGAGGAAAGUGGAAUUCCAUGUGUAGCGGUGAAAUGCGCAGAGAUAUGGAGGAACACCAGUGGCGAAGGCGACUUUCUGGUCUGUAACUGACGCUGAUGUGCGAAAGCGUGGGGAUCAAACAGGAUUAGAUACCCUGGUAGUCCACGCCGUAAACGAUGAGUGCUAAGUGUUAGGGGGUUUCCGCCCCUUAGUGCUGCAGCUAACGCAUUAAGCACUCCGCCUGGGGAGUACGACCGCAAGGUUGAAACUCAAAGGAAUUGACGGGGACCCGCACAAGCGGUGGAGCAUGUGGUUUAAUUCGAAGCAACGCGAAGAACCUUACCAAAUCUUGACAUCCUUUGACAACUCUAGAGAUAGAGCCUUCCCCUUCGGGGGACAAAGUGACAGGUGGUGCAUGGUUGUCGUCAGCUCGUGUCGUGAGAUGUUGGGUUAAGUCCCGCAACGAGCGCAACCCUUAAGCUUAGUUGCCAUCAUUAAGUUGGGCACUCUAAGUUGACUGCCGGUGACAAACCGGAGGAAGGUGGGGAUGACGUCAAAUCAUCAUGCCCCUUAUGAUUUGGGCUACACACGUGCUACAAUGGACAAUACAAAGGGCAGCGAAACCGCGAGGUCAAGCAAAUCCCAUAAAGUUGUUCUCAGUUCGGAUUGUAGUCUGCAACUCGACUACAUGAAGCUGGAAUCGCUAGUAAUCGUAGAUCAGCAUGCUACGGUGAAUACGUUCCCGGGUCA